CCCUCUCCUCUGGGCUAAACCUGUAGGCUCCUCUGCCACCUCCACCACACGCACACCCCUAGCUCCAAGGGCGGGGGGAUCCAAGGACUCGGCGCCCAGCUACCCACGGGCACUACAGCCACCUCCCUCAGAAUUAGAUCAUCUUACGCUGAUUAAGAGAGUUCAAGACCAGCACAGCUUGACAGCCAGGUCUGCAUAAACAAGACGAGGGAAUUUUUAAUAGCCCGUCGGAAAGCCGGCUUGCCGGGACCCGGGGCGGGGGCCCAAAGCACCCCGGAGUCGUUCACGGCGCUGACCAGGGGCUCGGCGGAGGAAGUCUGACUUCAGCCCCAAAGAGGAUCCCUCAUCUGCCGUGAGUCAUAUGGGACUGGACUGCUUAGUCGGAAGGGCCACGUCCCACACAACUUGACUCAGCUGCGGCAUUUAGAACAUGACCGACAAGACCCAGCUUCUUCCUCCUCUUUCACGAGCGGAGCCCCGCAGCCUCCGGCGGUUUUGAGUGCCUGGUCUAUGAUUUGAGAGAAGAGCAGUCCUGUGCUGCAGCUGAAAUUCCUUGGCUUGGAAAGUGGAAAGGAAGAAUGUGUCAUCUGUGGCUGAAGGCUGCUGAGGAAGCUAAUUGCGGUACAUCCUGUGGUUAAGUUAUCAUCUUUCUCAAUGACUGAAGAUC